rnacentral:rRNA from 1 species
GACGAACGCUGGCGGCGUGCUUAACACAUGCAAGUCGAACGGAAAGGCCUGCUUUCCCUUGUGGAUUGCGGGUACUCGCGUGGCGAACGGGUGAGUAACACGUGAGUGAUCUGCCCCCAACUUGGGUAUAAGCCUGGGAAACUGGGUCUAAUUCCCGAUAGGACUGCAGGGUGGUGCCUGUGGUGGAAGACGAUUUUCUAGUGGUUGGGGAUGAGCUCGCGGCCUAUCAGCUUGUUGGUGGGGUAAUGGCCUACCAAGGCGGCGACGGGUAGCCGGCCUGAGAGGGUGGACGGCCACAGUGGGACUGAGAUACGGCCCAGACUCCUACGGGAGGCAGCAGUGGGGAAUAUUGCACAAUGGGCGGAAGCCUGAUGCAGCGACGCAGCGUGGGGGAUGACGGCCUUCGGGUGGUAAACUCCUUUCGACCGCGAGGAAGCCACCUGGUUGGAAGGGUGGUGACGGUAGUGGUAGAAGAAGCACCGGCUAACUACGUG